rnacentral:tRNA from 1 species
GCCGCUGUCGCAUAGUGGUAUUGCACCUGGCUUGAGACCAGGGCCCUUUGGGCUCCCCGGUUCGAUUCCGGGCAGCGGCG